UGUUUCUUUUCUUCUUCCCGAAGUUUCCUCCCCUCCUCCUCUCUUUCCUUCCUUCUCUCCCGAUCCCGCUUUUCCUUCCCCCUUUCUUCUCCCGUGAAGGGAGGAAAGCGAGCUCGGGAGAGGUCGGGCCACGGCCGGCGGCGCCUGCCGCCGGGCUCGCGGCGUCCUCGGCCGAAGCUUCUUCUCCCUUCGUCUCUUUCAUCCCGAUCUCCUCCCUUCUUUCUUCUUCUCUUCUUCCUCUCACCUUCCCCCUCUUCUCCCGUGAACACAAGGGGAAGGAAGAUCCCAAGCUGGAGCUUGAGAGGAGGGCGAUGGGGCUCUCGGGAGGGCCAGUCGAGGCCGGCGGCGCCUACGGCGGCCCUCCCUUCUUCCGCGGAGGAGAGACGCGCCGGGAGAGCUAGCGGCGUCGCGGGAUGCCCGCGACUGAGCCCACGGCCGCUCCCCGCGGUGGUCGUGGCGCUCACGGCCGACUGCAACGCCGCGGUGCUCGCGGCCGGGGCCAGCGGCGCCGGCGAUGCUCGCGGCCGCACGCGGUGAGCCCUGUUUCUUCCCCUUCCUUUCUGUCUUUGUUUCUUUCUUUGUUAUCUUGAAUAAAUCAGGAGGAGAGAAGGCAGGGGGCUUACCUAGCUUUUGGAAGAAGCCACGAGCAUCU
rnacentral:lncRNA from 1 species